rnacentral:lncRNA from 1 species
GACGAAUAUAAUUGAAAUUAAUAUAAAUAAUUUAAAUCAAAAUUUAAAGUUCCGUCGAAUUUCAACGGAUUAUACACUAGUUAUACAAAAUGAAACACAUACUUUUAAAGUUCGUAAUUACCCUCGAGAUACAAGAAAAUCUAACAGAACUAGAAACUGAGAAAAGUGAUUAGGAAACAAUAAAACUCCUAAUUUAUGUUAUUCUCAAUCAUAUAUGAUGUUUAAAGUGUGAUGAACAUUAGCCACAGAUGUUCUAUCUCCUUUGGAAGUUGAUGCACUUGAUACCAAAGGCAAAGGUUAGGGCAAAGGUUAGGGCAAUAACCUGAUGCAUGACAGCAACAACAGGAAGAAAAUCAUGAUCAAACCCCAAGUUUUGUUUUAGGUAUGCUUUCACUGUCCUAAAACCAACUCCAGGCACCUCUAUUCCAGAUUCCAUCUCACCAAAUUGAGAAGCCACCAGCCCAUAAAUCGUCCACGCCACCGGAGAGCCCCAGUAAUACCACCUCCACCAUAUCGGGAUUUGCUGCCACACAACCACAAACUCGCUCUGUCAACACAACACAGACCCUUAAUCUCGAGAAAUUAGGCGAAGGUGACUUACCGUUCGUGGAAGGAGGAAACCGGAGAACAAGUUCCAGAAGCUGAGGAAGAAAGAUGAUGCAAUGGAAGCAACUUGGAGGCCUGGUGUGAGGGCGAUGAACAUCAUCCCGUACAAAGUGAAGUAGACGAAGCACAUGAAGAUGAAGUAGUAGAACCACAAGAAUCUGCCUACAUCCCAUUUGAAUCCAAUCAUUGAAUAGAGUAGAAGGAUGUAUGCUGCGGUUUGAAUUGCUACGUAUAUCAUCUCUAUAGCCACCUGAAACAAUUCACAAUGUGGCAUAUUGUUGUAAGGUGGUGAUGAUGAAGAAAUUUUUGGAGAGACAAUGUGGCAUUCAAGUAGACUGAGAUACCUGAGCAACUGCGUAAGGCAAUGGUGAAUACAUUCCAGCUGCCCUUUCUCGAUAGAAAACUGUCCUCUCUAUAGAAACGACGCCUUGCACAAAACCCAUGUUAAAGGCUCCGAGGAAGAGAACAGCAGAGUAUAUNUUUUUUUUUGCAAUAAGAAUCAGUUUGCUAGGUUUUUCGAGCCAAAAAUCAAAUAUCUUCAAAUUUAAUAUACAUUCAUUUUUCGUAUAAUAAUUAAACUAAAAUAAUUGGUUCAAGAUAAUGUUGACUUUUCAGACUUAUUUCACACCCCUAGUUAUUUUGUGAUACGUGUGUAGACUUCAUUCAUGUCAUGUGUGGUUGAUAGUAGAUUCGGCGAAGUUUCUAGUAAAUAUAAAUAUAUGCUGUUCAUUUUUUUUAAUUAAGUAAAAAAACAUACAAAUUAAAAAUUAGAAGAAAAUUCCUCAAAAAAAAAAAAAAUUAGAAAGCAAAUAAAAGAUGAAAGUUUACAAGUUCGUCAGCGAUGACCUCACCAAAUCCUAAAUAUUUCAAACAAACUCAAGAAUGUACAUUAAUGCAAAUUUACAUUAGACAAACUCAAAUACAAAAUCACAAGAAAUAAAGAUAAUCCUCUCGAAUUUUUGAAGUUCGUAUAGCACUUAAGAGUGACUAAUUAGCCUCCAGAUACAAGAAAAUCUAACAGAAGCAGAAACUGAGAAAAGUGAUUAGGAAACAAUAAAACUCCUAAUGUAUCUUAUUCUCAAUCAUGUAUCAUGUUUAAAGUGUGAUGAACAUUAGCCACAAAUGUUCUAUCUCCUUUGGAAGUUGAUGCACUUGAUACCAAAGGCAAAGGUUAGGGCAAAGGUUAGGACAAUAACCAGAUGCAUGACAGCAACAACAGGAAGAAAAUCAUGCUCAAACCCCAAGUUUUGUUUUAGGUAUGCUUUCACUGUCCUAAAACCAACUCCAGGCACCUCUAUUCCAGAUUCCAUCUCACCAAAUUGAGAAGCCACCAGCCCAUAAAUCGUCCACGCCACCGGAGAGCCCCAGUAAUACCACCUCCACCAUAUCGGAAUUUGC